GAAAUGCGAUAAGUAGUGUGAAUUGCAGAAUUCAGUGAAUCAUCGAAUCUUUGAACGCACAUUGCGCCCCUUGGUAUUCCAUGGGGCAUGCCUGUUCGAGCGUCAUUUGUACCUUCAAGCUUCGCUUGGUGUUGGGUGUUUGUCUCGCCUCUGCGCGCAGACUCGCCUCAAAACAAUUGGCAGCCGGCGUAUUGAUUUCGGAGCGCAGUACAUCUCGCGCUUUGCACUCAUAACGACGACGUCCAAAAAGUACAUUUUUUACGCGCUUGACCUCGGAUCAGGUAGGGAUACCCGCUGAACUUAAGC
rnacentral:misc_RNA from 1 species